AGUUGCAUUCAGUUUACAGUCUGCAACAAUCUAACUCAUUGGUGUCUUUACUAAUCUUCAAGCAACUGUUCUUUUAAGAACAGGUAAAGAUGUGGGACAGUAGGUUCAAAGGCAAUAUGAGCCCGCCCACUCUUUCUUUAUUUUGCAAACUGUUCCUCUUUAUCUUGACUCUUGGACUUGCUAAUGGUAUUCCUCAACUUAUUACUCCUACUCAAGUUGAUGUCUCCAAUAAUGUUACUAGUUUGAUUGAAUUUGAG